rnacentral:rRNA from 1 species
GACGAACGCUGGCGGCGUGCUUAACACAUGCAAGUCGAGCGGUAAGGCCCUUUCGGGGGUACGACGAGCGGCGAACGGGUGAGUAACACGUGGGUGACCUGCCCUCAGCUCUGGGAUAAGCCUGGGGAAACCGGGUCUAAUACCGGAUAUGACUCCAUGACGCAUGUUGUGGGGUGGAAAGCCUUGUGCGGCUGAGGAUGGGCCCGCGGCCUAUCAGCUUGUUGGUGGGGUGANGGCCUACCAAGGCGACGACGGGUAGCCGGCCUGAGAGGGCGACCGGCCACACUGGGACUGAGACACGGCCCAGACUCCGUACGGGAGGCAGCAGUGGGGAAUCUUGCGCAAGUGGGCGAAAGCCUGACGCAGCGACGCCGCGUGA